AGUGAACGCUGGCGGUAGGCCUAACACAUGCAAGUCGAACGGCAGCACAGUAAGAGCUUGCUCUUACGGGUGGCGAGUGGCGGACGGGUGAGGAAUACAUCGGAAUCUACUUUUUCGUGGGGGAUAACGUAGGGAAACUUACGCUAAUACCGCAUACGACCUACGGGUGAAAGCAGGGGAUCUUCGGACCUUGCGCGAUUGAAUGAGCCGAUGUCGGAUUAGCUAGUUGGCGGGGUAAAGGCCCACCAAGGCGACGAUCCGUAGCUGGUCUGAGAGGAUGAUCAGCCACACUGGAACUGAGAAACGGUCCAGACUCCGACGGGAGGCAGCAGUGGGGAAUAUUGGGCAAUGGGCGCAAGCCUGAUCCAGCCAUACCGCGUGGGUGAAGAAGGCCUUCGGGUUGUAAAGCCCUUUUGUUGGGAAAGAAAAGCAGCAGGUUAAUACCCCGCUGUUCUGACGGUACCCAAAGAAUAAGCACCGGCUAACUUCGUG
rnacentral:rRNA from 1 species